UGCCAGCAGCCGCGGUAAUACGGAGAGGGCAAGCGUUGUUCGGAUUCACUGGGCAUAAAGCGCACGUAGGCGGAUUGGUUAGUCGGUUGUGAAAUCCCGGGGCUCAACCCCGGAACUGCUUCCGAAACUGCCAGUCUGGAGGAUGAGAGGGGAGAGUGGAACUUCUGGUGGAGCGGUGAAAUGCGUAGAUAUCAGAAGGAACACCGGUGGCGAAAGCGACUCUCUGGCUCAUUUCUGACGCUGAGGUGCGAAAGCUAGGGUAGCGAACGGGAUUAGAUA
rnacentral:rRNA from 1 species